rnacentral:rRNA from 1 species
UACGAAGGGGGCUAGCGUUGCUCGGAAUUACUGGGCGUAAAGCGCGCGUAGGCGGGUCGUUAAGUCGGGGGUGAAAUCCUGGAGCUCAACUCCAGAACUGCCUUCGAUACUGGCGAUCUUGAGUCCGGGAGAGGUGAGUGGAACUCCGAGUGUAGAGGUGAAAUUCGUAGAUAUUCGCAAGAACACCAGUGGCGAAGGCGGCUCACUGGCCCGAUACUGACGCUGAGGUGCGAAAGCGUGGGGAGCAAACAGG